rnacentral:misc_RNA from 1 species
AAUGGUAGACGCUACGGACUUAAUUGGAUUGGGCCUUGGUAUGGAAACCCACUGAGUGAGAACUUUCAAAUUCAGAGAAACCCUGGAAUUAAUAAAAAGGGGCAAUCCUGAGCCAAAUCCUAUUUUCCGAAAACAAAGGUUCAGAAAGUGAAAAAAGGGAUAGGUGCAGAGACUCAAUGGAAGCUGUUCUAACAAAUGGAGUUGGCUGCGGUAGUCGAGAAGUCUUUCCAUCAAACGAGAAUAAAGAUAGAGUCCCAUUCUACAUGUCAAUGCCGGCAACAAUGAAAUUUAUAGUUAAGAGGAAAAUCCGUCGACUUUUAAAAUCGUGAGGGUUCAAGUCCCUCUAUCCCCAAAUAGACUAUUUGACUCUACAACUAUCUAUUUACCUAUCCCCUUUGUUAUCCGUUUAAAAUCCCUUUCUAUUCACUCUAUUCUAAUGGGGGCGAAAAUGUCCUUUUCUUAUCACAUUUAUAUGAUAUAUAUACAAAUAAUAUACAAAUAAACAUGUUUGAGCAAGAAAUCCCCAUUUGAAUGAUUUACAAUCUAUAUAAUUACUCAUACUGAAAUUCCCAAAGUCCUCUUUUUUUAAGAUACAAGCCAAACAAUUUUAGUACCUAAAUAAAACUUGGGAAUUCCCUUUCCUUCUUUUAAUUGACACAGCCCCCAUUUUCGAGUAAAAUGAGGAUGCUACAUUGGGACGGGUCGGGAUAGCUCAGCUGGUAGAGCAGAGGACUGAAAAUCCUCGUGUCACCAGUUCAAAA